UCAAUUUAAGUUUAAAACAACAACUUUUGAAGUUAGUAAGAUUAAUUAAAUUUAAUAAAUUGAU
rnacentral:tRNA from 1 species